rnacentral:rRNA from 1 species
GAUGAACGCUGGCGGCGUGCCUAAUACAUGCAAGUCGAGCGAACAGAUAAGGAGCUUGCUCCUUUGACGUUAGCGGCGGACGGGUGAGUAACACGUGGGUAACCUACCUAUAAGACUGGGAUAACUUCGGGAAACCGGAGCUAAUACCGGAUAACAUUUGGAACCGCAUGGUUCUAAAGUGAAAGAUGGUUUUGCUAUCACUUAUAGAUGGACCCGCGCCGUAUUAGCUAGUUGGUAAGGUAACGGCUUACCAAGGCGACGAUACGUAGCCGACCUGAGAGGGUGAUCGGCCACACUGGAACUGAGACACGGUCCAGACUCCUACGGGAGGCAGCAGUAGGGAAUCUUCCGCAAUGGGCGAAAGCCUGACGGAGCAACGCCGCGUGAGUGAUGAAGGGUUUCGGCUCGUAAAACUCUGUUAUUAGGGAAGAACAAACGUGUAAGUAACUGUGCACGUCUUGACGGUACCUAAUCAGAAAGCCACGGCUAACUACGUGCCAGCAGCCGCGGUAAUACGUAGGUGGCAAGCGUUAUCCGGAAUUAUUGGGCGUAAAGCGCGCGUAGGCGGUUUCUUAAGUCUGAUGUGAAAGCCCACGGCUCAACCGUGGAGGGUCAUUGGAAACUGGGAAACUUGAGUGCAGAAGAGGAAAGUGGAAUUCCAUGUGUAGCGGUGAAAUGCGCAGAGAUAUGGAGGAACACCAGUGGCGAAGGCGACUCUCUGGUCUGUAACUGACGCUGAUGUGCGAAAGCGUGGGGAUCAAACAGGAUUAGAUACCCUGGUAGUCCACGCCGUAAACGAUGAGUGCUAAGUGUUAGGGGGUUUCCGCCCCUUAGUGCUGCAGCUAACGCAUUAAGCACUCCGCCUGGGGAGUACGACCGCAAGGUUGAAACUCAAAGGAAUUGACGGGGACCCGCACAAGCGGUGGAGCAUGUGGUUUAAUUCGAAGCAACGCGAAGAACCUUACCAAAUCUUGACAUCCUUUGAAAACUCUAGAGAUAGAGCCUUCCCCUUCGGGGGACAAAGUGACAGGUGGUGCAUGGUUGUCGUCAGCUCGUGUCGUGAGAUGUUGGGUUAAGUCCCGCAACGAGCGCAACCCUUAAGCUUAGUUGCCAUCAUUAAGUUGGGCACUCUAGGUUGACUGCCGGUGACAAACCGGAGGAAGGUGGGGAUGACGUCAAAUCAUCAUGCCCCUUAUGAUUUGGGCUACACACGUGCUACAAUGGACAAUACAAAGGGCAGCUAAACCGCGAGGUCAUGCAAAUCCCAUAAAGUUGUUCUCAGUUCGGAUUGUAGUCUGCAACUCGACUACAUGAAGCUGGAAUCGCUAGUAAUCGUAGAUCAGCAUGCUACGGGAAGAGGUUCCCGGGUCU